UACGUAGGUGGCAAGCGUUGUCCGGAUUUACUGGGCGGAAAGGGCGUGCAGGCGGUUUGUUAAGUGCAGGGUGAAAGCUCCCGGCUCAACUGGGAGAGGUCCUUGCAUACUGGCGAACUCGAGGGAGGCAGAGGAAAGUGGAAUUCCCGGUGUAGUGGUGAUAUGCGUAGAUAUCGGGAGGAACACCUGUGGCGAAGGCGGCUUUCUGGGCCUUACCUGACGCUGAGACGCGAAAGCGUGGGGAGCGAACCGG
rnacentral:rRNA from 1 species